GCGGUAAUACUAGCAUAACGAGUGGUAUCCACGAAUAUUGGGUCUAAAGGGUCCGUAUCUGGCCUGUUAAGUUCGCUGUGAAAUCUUGGAGCUCCACUUCAAGGCGUGCAGCAUAUACUGGCGGGCUUGAGAGUGGGGGAGGUCAGGGGUACUCACGGGGUCAGAGUACAAUCUUGUAAUCCUGUGAGGACUUCCAGUGGCGUAAGCGCCUGACCAAAACACGUCUGACAGUGAGGGACGAAUGGCUAGGAGAACGACUCGGAUUACAUACGCUAGUAGCCCUAGCAGUAAAUUAUGCCUCACUGUGGUGUUGCCGCUUGCUUCGAGCAACUGCAGAGCUGUAGCGUAGUGUUAAGUC
rnacentral:rRNA from 1 species